GCCAGCAUGGCAUAGUGGUUUGAGCAUAGGACUAGGAACCUGGAGAACGGGGUUCGAUUCCCUGCUUGGCC